CAGCGAGCACUAUGCACAGUAGAGCAACGUGCGCAAUGAAAGUAAAAACUGCUAAUAUCUGCGGGAGUGGCCGACAAUGUCGCUUCGGUGAUGUCGUUUGAGCUGGAGUGGAAGUGCUAGGACCCGAAAGAUGGUGAACUAUGCCUGGGUAGGGAGAAUACAGGGGAAAUUCUGUUGGAAGCUCGUAGCGAUACUGACGUGCAAAUCGUUUGUCAAACCUGGGUAUAGGGGCGAAAGACUAAUCGAAC
rnacentral:rRNA from 12 species